GGAUUUGAAGCCAAAAAGCUCUCGGUAAUUCCGGGUUCCUUGCAACCAGAGCUGCGCAGUAGCGUUGUACGCAGACGUUGUUGGCUGGACGGGAGACUCGGCGCGAUGACGUUUCGCUCAAAAAGUGCCCCCCCCCCGGAUGUCCUUCCAGCCUUACAUCGGUAUCGCUAAUAGCUUCCCCGCUCGUCGCGACCAAGAAUAAGUAAGUUCCACUUCUCCUGAUAUAAUGUGAAAUUUGUGAGCGUACUCACUUUUAAGAACAUAAAAUACCAUCAUAACUAAUACGAAUAAAGAUAUCAUCUAUUACUUGAUUGGAAGUAAGUCAUCUCUCUUUGUUGAAAGAAACGGUGUAAAUGUAAGCUAAAGAAGCAUUGCAAUUUAACACUAGCCUUGGUAAAUUAAACAGCAAAAUACGUGAUAUUUUUAGUUUAUCAGUUGUUAAGAUAUAUGCUAUUGUACUGUGAUUAAAAAUGAACAAAAUUCUGAAUGAACAGCAAAUAUUUAUGUUGUUCUCCUUUUUUUAGACAAAGAGAAAAGAAGCUUCAAAGAUGAGCACAACAUCAGCCACUGUGACCAGAAGUAAGGAUAAAAAUUCAUUGAGAUGGAUGCUGAUUUAGUUGGAUAUGAUUUUAGUCAGACUUUUAUUAGGUAAUGUUAUAAAUAUUUUUUUUUUUUAGGAAAAUGACUUUUUUUUUUCUUUUAUUGUUCAAUACAUUUACAGAAAUCAAACAGCAGGACCUCCAGGAUCUCCAUCGGCAGUUCCCCACCGUGAGGAUCAUCUUCUCUGCCAUCACUCAGAGGAGCCGAUGGAGAUACAGCCCCAAGAAAA